rnacentral:rRNA from 1 species
AGAUUGAACGCUGGCGGCAGGCCUAACACAUGCAAGUCGAGCGGCAGCACGGGUACUUGUACCUGGUGGCGAGCGGCGGACGGGUGAGUAAUGCCUAGGAAUCUGCCUGGUAGUGGGGGAUAACGCUCGGAAACGGACGCUAAUACCGCAUACGUCCUACGGGAGAAAGCAGGGGACCUUCGGGCCUUGCGCUAUCAGAUGAGCCUAGGUCGGAUUAGCUAGUUGGUGGGGUAAUGGCUCACCAAGGCGACGAUCCGUAACUGGUCUGAGAGGAUGAUCAGUCACACUGGAACUGAGACACGGUCCAGACUCCUACGGGAGGCAGCAGUGGGGAAUAUUGGACAAUGGGCGAAAGCCUGAUCCAGCCAUGCCGCGUGUGUGAAGAAGGUCUUCGGAUUGUAAAGCACUUUAAGUUGGGAGGAAGGGCAGUUACCUAAUACGUAUCUGUUUUGACGUUACCGACAGAAUAAGCACCGGCUAACUCUGUGCCAGCAGCCGCGGUAAUACAGAGGGUGCAAGCGUUAAUCGGAAUUACUGGGCGUAAAGCGCGCGUAGGUGGUUUGUUAAGUUGAAUGUGAAAUCCCCGGGCUCAACCUGGGAACUGCAUGCAAAACUGGCAAGCUAGAGUAUGGUAGAGGGUGGUGGAAUUUCCCGUGUAGCGGUGAAAUGCGUAGAUAUAGGAAGGAACACCGGUGGCGAAGGCGACCACCUGGACUGAUACUGACACUGAGGUGCGAAAGCGUGGGGAGCAAAC